GAGCCCUGGAUAGAGCAGGUGUGAGGCAGCUGGAACCCUGGCUAGAGCAGGUGUGUGGCAGCUGGAAGCCUGGAUAGAGCAGGUGUGUGGCAGCUGGAGCCCUGGAUAGAGCAGGUGUGAGGCAGCUGGAGCCCUGGCUAGAGCAGGUGUGAGGC